UACGAAGGGGACUAGCGUUGUUCGGAAUCACUGGGCGUAAAGCGCACGUAGGCGGCUUUCUAAGUCAGGGGUGAAAUCCUGGAGCUCAACUCCAGAACUGCCUUUGAUACUGGAGAGCUUGAGUCCGGGAGAGGUGAGUGGAACUCCGAGUGUAGAGGUGAAAUUCGUAGAUAUUCGGAAGAACACCAGUGGCGAAGGCGGCUCACUGGCCCGGUACUGACGCUGAUGUGCGAAAGCGUGGGGAGCAAACAGG
rnacentral:rRNA from 1 species